rfam:Candidatus Tokpelaia hoelldoblerii isolate Hsal, complete genome.
UCCGGCCUGAUAAAGAGGUUGGGAUACUGUAGAGGCACACCCUCCUUGCCUUCCGUGCGGAAACGGUUCUCCAAUUCCAAUCAAAAGGCAGACAAAGCGGAACAAUGCGGGUAUCCGCGCUGUUCUUUAACAGCAGUCUGAUUGCCAUGGG